CGGGACGUAGCGCAGCCUGGUAGCGCACUCCCUUGGGGUGGGAGAGGCCGCGAGUUCAAAUCCCGCCGUCCCGACCA
rnacentral:tRNA from 1 species